CCCCCAAGCCUCCCAGGGAGCAACGCAAAGCAGGAGGGGGACCCGAGGAUCCACCCAGCUGCACCCCCCCAUUUGCAUUGCACUGGAAUCUCUGCAAUGUGCCGGCUGCUCCUCGGGCGGCUGGGGCGGCCAUGAGUCACUGCUGCCGCUGGAACGUGACUCAGUCCUGCUGCUCUCCCAGCAGGACAUGACCAGACUGCCAAAGCCAGGGAGAAGCCCCAGCGCCGUCGCCUGCCCGCGCAGGCGGGAAAACCCUCUUCACCCACUCUGGCUCGCCCAUCCAUGGGUUGCCAUCGGGCUGUGGGUACCUCCCCGGCAUUUUGCUGCCCGGUCUUCCAGGCCAGGCCCUACGGGAGAGCAGGGGAAGCUCCUGGCACUGCUUCUGCCCCAGUUCCUGUGCCUCAGUUUCCCUGUCCGAUGGGGCACGGAGAUUUCCCCGUCGGGGAGUGGGACCGGGGUUACUUCAGAUUGUGCUUUGAGGAACAGCAGCUCUGGGGGAUUAUUAUUAACAUUAAUAUCCAGGCUCGGUCAGGGCUCAGGUGGCGGGGAGGGCGUGAAGCAGCCCUGAGUCACAGGGCAGCAGCCCUGCGCUGAGCACCGACACUCUCGCUGCACCCCAGGGCUGCGACAACCAGGGGCUGAGGCCGCCUCGUUCAUCUCACCCGGGGCUGGAUGAUGCCGGACACGAGCCCUCCUCAUCCUCACGCUGCUGCUGCAUGAGGAAACGGGCUCCUGGGGUGGAAGAGCUGCGGAGGCGGCCACGGGGCAGAGCUGAGCACUGGGAUGCUUGUCACACCUCAGGCUGUGUGGUGCCUCCGCGGCCGCAGCUGCCUCUGUCAGCCAUGAUUGAAAGCCAAGCUGGGCUGGCAGGCCUUCUCUGUGAUCUUGUUAAUUAAGAAAUACAUUUAAUUAGCAGCACCCCAGCUGUGACUCAGCUAAUCAUCAUGAUCGAAACAAGAGCCGGACUCCAGCGCCGGGGCAUGACAGCACCAAAGCCCCCCUCGGUAGCCACGAGCCCCUGGCUCUGCCGUGGGAGCCCAUCGCCCGCCAGGCACAGCCUGACACCCCCCUGGGGUUUUGGGGUGAGUUUUCCCCUGGGCUGGAGGCAGGUUGGGGCUGAGACCGUCCCCGUGCAGCACCUCGCACACGCAGGGUGUCACCCCCACCCGGGGCAAUUACCCAUUGCCACGCUGUGAAUAAUCAUAUUAAUAACCCAUUUACCGUGCUAUAAAUAUCCUCGAUAAUAACAGCCUGGGCUUUCCAGGAAUAGAUCAUCAAAAAUGCGGGAAAAGCCAUUCCCACCCUGGCCUGGG